GCCAGGCAUGGUGGUGCACACCUGUAAUCCCAGCUGCUCUGGAGGCUGAGGCAGGAGGAUUGUGAGUUCAAAGCCAGCCUCAGCAAUGGCGAGGUGCUAAGCAACUCAGUGAGACCCUGUCUCUC
rnacentral:sRNA from 1 species